rnacentral:snRNA from 1 species
GUGCUCACUUCAUCAGCACAUAUACUAAAACUGGAACUAUACAGAGAAGAUAAGCAUGGCCCCUGUGCAGGGAUGGUACACAAAUUCAUCAAGCAUUCCAUGUUUUU